AAUUCUCAACUACACUGACUUUGAUUGGUGUGGCUUGGAUUUGGGGGGAGGAAAAUCAUUGUGGGCUUGUUGUGUAUAGUCUGCUCCCCUGAAAUUAAUUAGCGGUACCUUUGUGGAACUGUCUACAGGUGUGAUAAUUAUCUACAUCCUAGACAUCUGCUGGAAUGCUGCUUUCUAAACUUUAGUUGCAUUGACAA
rnacentral:misc_RNA from 1 species